rnacentral:rRNA from 1 species
GACGAACGCUGGCGGCGUGCUUAACACAUGCAAGUCGUGCGGAAAGGCCCUUUGGGGUGCUCGAGCGGCGAACGGGUGAGUAACACGUGAGUAAUCUGCCUUGGACUUCGGGAUAGCUACGCGAAAGUGUGAUUAAUACCGGAUAUUACUUCUUGCCGCAUGGUGGGGGGUGGAAAGCCUUUUUUGGGUGGUUUGAGAUGUGCUCGCGGCCUAUCAGCUUGACGGUGGGGUAGUGGCCUACCGUGGCUUUGACGGGUAGCCGGCCUGAGAGGGUGACCGGCCACACUGGGACUGAGACACGGCCCAGACUCCUACGGGAGGCAGCAGUGGGGAAUAUUGGACAAUGGGCGGAAGCCUGAUCCAGCAACGCCGCGUGAGGGAUGACGGCCUUCGGGUUGUAAACCUCUUUCGACAUUGACGAAGCCCUUUUGGGGUGACGGUAGGUGUAGAAGAAGGACCGGCCAACUACGUGCCAGCAGCCGCCGUAACAC